rnacentral:rRNA from 1 species
UUGUUGGAGAGUUUGAUCCUGGCUCAGGACGAACGCUGGCGGCGUGCUUAAUACAUGCAAGUCGAACGUGGUUCAUCCGCUCUUCGGAGUGGAGAAGAUCAAGUGGCGAACGGGUGCGUAACACGUGAGGAACCUGCCCUGGUCUCUGGAAUAACUGAUGGAAACAUCUGCUAAUACCGGAUACCGUCAUCACUCCGCAUGGUGAGAUGACGAAAGAUUUAUCGGACCGGGAGGGUCUCGCGGCCUAUCAGCUUGUUGGUGAGGUAACGGCUCACCAAGGCAUCGACGGGUAGCUGGUCUGAGAGGAUGAUCAGCCACACUGGGACUGAGACACGGCCCAGACUCCUACGGGAGGCAGCAGUAGGGAAUAUUGCACAAUGGGCGCAAGCCUGAUGCAGCAACGCCGCGUGCGGGAAGAAGGACCUAGGUUUGUAAACCGCUUUCAGCAGGGAAGAAAACAGACGGUACCUGUAGAAGAAGGUGCGGCCAACUACGUGCCAGCAGCCGCGGUGACACGUAGGCACCAAGCGUUGUCCGGAUUUAUUGGGCGUAAAGAGCUCGUAGGCGGUUCGGUAAGUCGGGUGUGAAAACUCUGGGCUCAACCCAGAGCCGCCACC